GAGUACUGCCAUGCGACUACAAGGUGCUAAAGCCUCAUUUAACUUAGUAUUGAAUAUUCAACCUUGAAUCUUUAAAUAGAAGUGCGAUGAAAAUCGCACUGCAUAUGGAGUAGACCCCGAGCCUUAGGUUGAAUCGAAGAAUCAGGCUGAGGGUCAAUCUUGUAAUUUCAUAACUUUUUUCCCCUUAAAACCCAGAGAAAAACUUUUUGUCCAACGAGCACGUGGCACAUAGCCCCUGAGCCGUUACACGGCUAGUUUGGGUAUAAGGGUCAACCACUGGUCAACUUGACUGUUCGUCUUCAAAAAUAUUAUCUCUACCGAGAAAAUUGGAAACUGCUUUUGCGAUAACCAAGGGCUUUAAAAACGAAAUAUUCCCCAUAAUUUUUGCCUCUCGGUUAACUGUGCCGCGGUUAUAAAUAAUGGAGGGACUCAUCCCUUCCAUUUCACCUGAGCUAUUGCGCCUGUUCAUCUUCUGCAUUAUUGCCCAAGCGCCGCCGCUUGCCAUUCUCGAGGUCGAGUGCCCUCCUCCC
rnacentral:lncRNA from 1 species